AGCUACGAGGAACACAUCCAAGCAGCCGGGUUUUAGCCACCUGUCAUUCGAAAAGUUGAUAUACCUGAGACGAAGCCAGAGAAACUUUUAUAAAAAAUAAAAAAAAUAAAAAAAAUCGGAAAAAAGGUAUUUAAUUUAAUCUGCUUUGGCGUGCAUAUUUUGGAAAACCAUAGAGCCGAAUUGUAGGAGCCGUUAUUAAACACUAAUACAGACCAAUGUACCAGGUACGCCUGUACUGAUCUGUCUGUCUCUUGUUUUACCUACACACGUGAACACUUACCCAGUCUUGCAGGACGAAUAAUAAUGGACGUUGAUUAUAAUAUUUCUAAAUACUGAACCAUCGACGAUCAUCACAUCCUGAACACUAAUCUACACAGGACUCAUCCACAAACACGUUAAAGAUACACAGAAAGCGAGUAGUAGGUUCGAUACAAAAAUAUAUACGAUACAUUUGAUGUAUUCAUCAUGCUGAUACAAGUUGGUUCAUAACACUUAUACACCUUGGAAAUACACAGAAGGCCAGUGUGAAGUUCUAUACCGAAACUGAUGAAAUAUACUGAUUUGCAAGGUGGUGCAAAACACAUCCGAAACCGAAAUACAUAAGAAAAAAUUUGAUGUAUUUAUCAUACUGAUACAAAUUGGUGCAUAACACUUAUACACGUUGGAAAUACACAGAAGGCGGUUCCAAAGUUCUACACCGAAAUACGUAAGAAACUUUUAAUAUAUUCAUCAUGGUGAUGGAAAUUGGUGCAAAACACUUAUGAUCAUUGGAAAUACACAGAAGGCGAGUGUGAUGUAUUCAUCAUGCUGAUACAAAUUGGUGCAUAACACUUAAAUCGAUGAAUCUAUAAAGACUUUUGAGAUACACUGGUCGUGUGUUAAGUUGUUUUAUGCCGAAAUACACACGAAGAUUGACGAUUCAUUCAAAUGAGACGCGGAGACAUUUGAAGUAUACAUCAUUCUGAUUCGGAUUGGUGCAUUUGUAACUGAACUAUAUAAUAAAUAUAUUUUGAUACUUACAUUAUAAAUUGUGCAUUUUCUUUUGAUACAGAUCA